ACUACAUAGUGGGAGUAUGUUAAGCAUUUUGGCAAUAUUUUGGUAGAGGGGAAUCCCCCUCCUUGGUUUCGACUAAGGUACCUCAUGAGACAAAGGUACCUACCCGAAAGAUAUUAUCAAGAGCUCCUUGCCAAGUUGUAUAACUUGAGGCAAGGAAAAAAAACAUUGUGGCUUACUACGUUGAGUUCCAACAACUCAUCUUGAAACUUGAUCAUAGAGGAAAACAAGUGAGUCAUGAUAUCUUUGAUUCAAGG
rnacentral:lncRNA from 1 species